AUACUUACCUGGCGGGGGAGAUACCAUGAUCACGAAGGUGGUUUUCCCGGGGUGAGGCUUACCCAUUGCACUCUGGGUAUGCUGACCCCUGGGACUUCCCCAGGUGUGGGAGACUUAACUGCAUAAUUCGUGGUUGUGAAGGACUGUGUUCAUGCUCUCCCCUG